AACCCCGCUAAUUUGAAAUUCGGGGCUCUCAAUCUCGAUCCGCUGUGUCGGUGACAAUUGAGAGUCCCUGCUUAAGCUUGAAUAAACGACCCUCGUGUGCUUAACAUCGGAAACGGCCUCCUGGUGGUUUUCGGGACUUCGCAAUCUGGGCACAACAGUAUCUCACUCAUGUAUCUCAAAAGAGGCCAGAAUACUGCCUGGCACAGUGCAGGCUCUAGGUAAAUAGUGCUGAAUGGUCAUCUCCACCACUAGACUUCUGCUUGCUAACCUUCAUCUACAACCAGCUGACAAAGGCAUCAAAACCACCCUUUUACUCAGUUUCAAGGAGGAGAAAAAAAACUCCUUCAAACAUAAACCACUCACAAAUGUGGCUAUCUUUAAUAAAGGUUUGAGGGCAGAAACAGAAAGGAAUCGCUUAUAGCAAAGCAAACAGGUCCUAAUUAAAUAUUAGGUAUGUCUAUGCAGUCAUGAAAUGUCUUUUGGCUUCUGGCCUUUGAGAUUUGAAAGGGAACAUCUUAAUGCUCUGAAAGACUGACAGUUGUAUAGCCAUAGAAAGAAGUACCAGGACAUGUAAAGCAAUCACAGUAGUCCAAUAGUCAUAAUAACACACACCAAAUCUCCUUCUAAACUCUUUUAACUAUCAGUGAUAACUGCUUCUGAUGAGUGACAGAUUCAAGCUUUGAAAGUCAGGUCACUGGUGGCAAAUUGUCCCAAGGACCAGCUUCUAUGAGUGAGGUCGACCCUACAGCCAUUCCCUAAAUGCAAUGUAAAAGCAAAAGGUGGCUUUGCUCCCUAAGGCCAUGCCUGGCCAGCUCGGUGCCCCUGAUUUCCAGAUGCCAAACACUGGUCUCAUCCUUUGUGCCAUUCAGUCCUGAGUCUCACUCUCACUAGCUCACCUGCCCCUCCUUCUUUCUGCUCAGCCCGUCUUUCCUCUCCUUCCACAGCAAGAACGUAUCCCACUCACUGGGUCUCUGGUGCUGUGCACUUUGCUCAUUUCGGGGGCUGGCUGUGCUUCUGUUAAUAUUCAAGCCCAGGCUGGGGAUUUAGCUCAGUGGUUCUGGUGCCUGUCUCACAAGCACAUGUUCCCGAGUUCAAUCCCCAGUACCAAAAAAAAAAAAAAAAAAAUUCAACCCCUUCUAUUUCAAAAGCAUUUGUUAAGAAGCUAUUUCAUAGGAAAAAAAGGGGCAAAGAGAAAGAAAGUGGGAGGGCUAGGGGAAAGGAUAGAAGGGAAUGGGAUUAAAAUGAGAAAAUGGAAAAAUAGGAACAAAAUCUUUGUAAAUAGGGAGGACUGGAGGGGUUGAAGGGAGGGCUGGGCAAGGGGGAAACACAAGAACCAAGAGAGA
rnacentral:lncRNA from 1 species